rnacentral:rRNA from 1 species
ACGGCGAGUGAAGCGGCAACAGCUCAAAUUUGAAAUCUGGCUCUCUUCGAGGGUCCGAGUUGUAAUUUGCAGAGGGUGCUUUGGCUUUGGUUGCGGUCUAUGUUCCUUGGAACAGGACAUCACAGAGGGUGAGAAUCCCGUAUGUGGUCGCAUUCCAUCGCCGUGUAAAGCCCCUUCGACGAGUCGAGUUGUUUGGGAAUGCAGCUCUAAAUGGGAGGUAAAUUUCUUCUAAAGCUAAAUACCGGCCAGAGACCGAUAGCGCACAAGUAGAGUGAUCGAAAGAUGAAAAGCACUUUGGAAAGAGAGUCAAACAGCACGUGAAAUUGUUGAAAGGGAAGCGCUUGCAGCCAGACUUGCCCGUCGUUGCUCAUCCAGGCUCUUGCCUGGAGCACUCGAUGGCGGGCAGGCCAGCAUCAGUUUGGGCGGCCGGAUAAAGACCUCUGUCACGUACCUUCCUUCGGGAAGGCCUUAUAGGGGAGGUGCAACACGGCCAGUCCGGACUGAGGUUCGCGCAUCUGCUAGGAUGCUGGCGUAAUGGCUGUAAGCGGCCCGUCUUGAAACACGGACCAAGGAGUCUAACAUCUAUGCGAGUGUUUGGGUGUCAAGCCCGGGCGCGCAAUGAAAGUGAACGGAGGUGGGAACCCUUCGCGGGGUGCACCAUCGACCGAUCCUGAUGUCUUCGGAUGGAUUUGAGUAAGAGCAUAGCUGUUGGGACCCGAAAGAUGGUGAACUAUGCUUGAAUAGGGUGAAGCCAGAGGAAACUCUGGUGGAGGCUCGCAGCGGUUCUGACGUGCAAAUCGAUCGUCAAAUUUGGGCAUA